GGACCCAUGGCGCAACGGUAGCGCGUCAGAUUCCAGUAGCAGUUGGGGUAACAUCCUCCACGGGAAACCGGAAGUUCCUGAAGGUUAAGUGUUCAAAUCACUUUGGGUUCA